rnacentral:rRNA from 1 species
UACGUAGGGGGCAAGCGUUAUCCGGAUUUACUGGGUGUAAAGGGAGCGUAGACGGCGAUGCAAGCCAGAUGUGAAAGCCCGGGGCUCAACCCCGGGACUGCAUUUGGAACUGUGUGGCUGGAGUGUCGGAGAGGCAAGUGGAAUUCCUAGUGUAGCGGUGAAAUGCGUAGAUAUUAGGAGGAACACCAGUGGCGAAAGCGGCUCUCUGGCCUGUAACUGACACUGAGGCUCGAAAGUGUGGGGAGCAAACAGG